rnacentral:misc_RNA from 1 species
AACUGAUACUACCUGCGGGAACCUGCGGAAGGAUCAUUACUGAGUGAGGGCCCCUCGGGGUCCAACCUCCCACCCGUGUUUAACGAACCUUUGUUGCUUCGGCGGGCCCGCCUCACGGCCGCCGGGGGGCUCCUGCCCCCGGGCCCGCGCCCGCCGAAGCCCCCCCUUGAACGCUGUCUGAAGUUUGCAGUCUGAGAAACUAGCUAAAUUAGUUAAAACUUUUAGCAAUGGAUCUCUAGA